AGACAAAGUGUCCUUCUCUCUCCAUGCAAUAGCAGUCUGGGGAAAGCCUGCAGCAUGGGACUGCCAUAACCUUGGAAUUACAAGACGCCCCAGGAGAGAACCUGACGGCUGAACAGUGACAAAAAGACAAUUCAUUACCCGGUGGAAUGGGCGAGGGUGUAGGGGAUGGUGGAGCCCUCUGGAACAUAGGACAGUGGACGACAACCAACUAGAACAACACGCCCAGAUGAAGGAAGAAAUGGAGAAACCAAAUCCAGAGAAGAAAGGUGAGGUCUCAGGAAGAGGAGAAUGCAGUACAACACAGCAGCACAGGAUUGAAGGGGAGAGACUCAAAAUCUUAAAAGGAUUAAGUGUCACUCCCGGUGUUGACUUGAAAACCUGAGGUGGAAUCCUAACCCCUGGGAGCUUUGACAUGGAUUUAAAUGAGAUUUUUUUCCCAUUUUGUAUAGCAACAUAUAGGAAAAGAUGUUUUCUUCUGAAAAAAAAACAUGACUCAAAAUGAAUGAAAUCCAGCUAGUACAUUGGACCUUCUAAAGCCUUUUGCUUCUCUAAAACUCCAUAUUGGAGGCAGAAUUCACCUCAGUAUAGAGUGACUUGGCAUUGGAGAGCUAUAUAUUAGUGAAGGCCUGAGGUGAAAGGGUGAAUUUCGUAUAUACAUUCAUUUAAACUGAGCCUGAAGGAAUACUCACUGAAUAGGAAAAAGCUGAAAAAUAUAAACAUCUGUUUCUCAAAAGUGAAUAUUUUCUCUCUGUCCAUUUUAUACAUUACCUAUGAAGGAUUUGAAAGGUAAAAUAACAUUGGGAAACAUGUUUUAUGUUUGGAACCUCUGCUUUUUGGAGUCAAUAGAAACUGCUGGUACUCAGCAUCCCUGAGUCAUAAUAGUUGCUUGGCUGCUCUGCAUUCAUGUUUUCCAGUAAGAUGGAUUGAAUGUAUGGCAGCUGUCCUUAGAGGCUAACCUGAAAUUAAGAUAUUGCUGCUCUCAGGUUUAUCCAAGUGAAUGAAACUGCAAAUAGCUAAUAAGUAUGUAGAGAGAGAUUUCUGCUUUGCUAGUAUAUAGAGAUUAUGAUGUAAUAAUGUCAAUUACAUAUUGGAAACUUUUUUGACUACUUGAGCGUAUUAUGAAAAUGUGGAAGACGGGAUAUGUACUGUCUGCUGAUAGCAGGAUGUCACCAUGGACACCAGUACAGAGGAGUCAAAUAUGAUGAAGCAGAGAAAAAGGAAAGAGGAUAAGAUGCAGUAUCCAUGGCAACAAGUGGUAAAGAAAUAAGACUCCAAAAAGUUGAAAUCCCUAUGUGAUUCAGUAUUAUUAAAAUGAAAUUUGCAAAAUUAGAAACACAGAAAACUCUUCCUGUGCCACUGGGUCUUGUGCCAGGUAGUGUCACACAGGUAUGCUGCAUUGGCUUUAAAUUAUGUGUGGAUCAUUUAUAUAAUAUUCUUUCAUCUCUUCACUGCUAUGUUGGUUACCAGUUCAAGAUUGAAGUCUUGGCAUGAACAGAUCUGAUCCAGGCAUCUCUGUUUACACUUGUGUAUCUGUAGAAAAACAUUCUGUAUUUUUACACUUCUUCCUUGGCCAUCUAUGUGACACGGUAUAUUGUAACCACAUGUGGCAGCCUAUAAUUUCAUGUAUUUCUAUAUAACCUGAAGUAAGACAAUGUAAUAUGAGGGAAAUAUUUUUUUCUUUGAUAUGACGCCAGCUCCCAUUCUGAAUUUUGUACAUAUGGUCUGAAGCUAAUGCAAUGGACGGAGACAAAGUGGCAGAGUAAGUACUUGUGCUAGCUGACACCCAGAGGAUAUCAUAGUUUUUUCUCCUAUUGAACUAUUUUGGGCUUCUUUGCAUGUAUCUAAAUUAAACUGCCUUGCAUUUGCUAUAUCAAAUUUGAUUUACCCUCACUGGAGCUGUAAUGUUUAGUCUGUGUGAUAUUGCAUUACCUGUCUUAUAGAGGACCAUGCAUUAGGAUUUGAACAGAUGUUGUCAUCAAUUUAUCAUGGUAGACUUUUUUUUCUCUAAAUCAUUCACUUUUCUUAAGCAGAAAAAAAAUUCUGGUGCCUUUAAACAAAGGUAGAAUUCACAUUUUUUUUAGUUAUAUCCAAUCUUAAUACUGAAAACAUUUAUUCUUCAGAGAAAAAUAUGAAGUAAAUUAACUCUUGCACCUUUAUUAAAUCUCUGUUUGAUCAUAGAAAAAUAGAGCUGGAAGGGACCUUCCAAAAGGGACCAAAAUAGGGUCGAACUGAG